ensembl:lncRNA LASTR lncRNA associated with SART3 regulation of splicing
AUUCCAAGCACUGAAGUAAAUGAUUGAUGGAGGGAAAGAUCCAAAGUGUCAGAGAAGUCUCUCUCUUGGCCGUGAAUAACAGGCUACCUUGAAUUGGUGUUUCCUUUGCGUAUUUUGUUUCUAAGCAAAUCGAGUCCCAGGUAGAGUUUUGCCCUUGAGCAGCUUCAUGAGGUCAAGGAGGGGCGCUCACUCCACUCUGCACGGAAACACUGAGUGGAAUGAAAAUACAACCGGAGAGAAUGUCCUCCCCACCAGAAGGUCGCCUCGAGACAGGCCUCCACGCAUCGUUGCUGACCUCACACAGUGAUACCUCUGCAUGCCGGGGAGCAAUUCCAUCCAAGUCCCUGCAUCCUUGUCCAGGAGCAGCCAUCAGUGUGGAGCUGGGGCUUGGAGAUCUUGCUCCCCGCUGCCUCUAGGGCUCAGGGGCAUGGCUGCCGACCACACAGGGGCAGCCCUUUCUAGAGAUCUCCACGCACAUCUCUGCAUGAAGGUUUCAGAGUCACUGGAUUUCCCAGGGCCUUCUCUUUGCUAGGAAUGUCUGAGACGCGCUCUGCAAGAUGAGUUGGCAGCAUCUCUGUGCCUCUGGUUUUGCCAGGCUCCACCAACAUCCCGCUAAGAACUCUUCACCCUCAAGUGCACUGAGGGGAACCCCAGUGAAGGCCAAUGAGGGAAACCACACAUCACUGAGGGCCGACGGAGGCCCCCAAAGCUCAGAUCGCUGUGCUCGCCAGUAGGAUUGAAUGAUUGCUGGGACCACACAAUUUACACUUGGCUCUCGUGGUCCGGAGGGGAGGACUGCGCCAGCAUGAGAAGACCAGAGAGCAAGUAAAUGGAAAUUUGGCGAGAUCCUGUGGCUGCUGUUGGUGGCUGCAGCCAGACAGGAAAACUGAGAUGGUGUGAGCAGAAAGGGCUGGAAGGAGUUGGCUUUUUCCAAGAAAUUACAGCGGAAUCUUCUUCCAAGAGGCUGGGGGCCUCUGCAGACAUGAUCUCAUUACUUACCCCCCAAAUCCCCCAGCUUCCCUACGGACCAAGGACCAGGGGUCUCUGCCCAGUCCUAGCUCCAAGGAAACUCACACUUGGCAGAUUUUCCUAAUCGGAGCUGGCCUUGAAGUUUGCUCACUGAUAAUCACCAGAAAGUCACCCCAACAAUGGGUGAUGCCAGAGUGUCCUCAAGCUUCAAGGGUCCGUAAAAACACUUGACUCCCCCAGGACAAAAAUGACUGGGGGAAACAUGCAGUUCUUCAAAGAGAACGGUUUCAUUCUGUA